rnacentral:rRNA from 1 species
GAUGAACGCUAGCUAUAGGCUUAACACAUGCAAGUCGAGGGGAAACGGCAGAGAGUGCUUGCACACUUUGGACGUCGACCGGCGCACGGGUGAGUAACGCGUAUCCAACCUGCCCUUUACUUGGGGAUAACCCGUUGAAAGACGGACUAAUACCCAAUGAUAUUCAUUGAUGACAUCUGAUUUGAAUUAAAGAUUUAUCGGUAUAGGAUGGGGAUGCGUCUGAUUAGCUUGUUGGUGAGGUAACGGCUCACCAAGGCCACGAUCAGUAGGGGUUCUGAGAGGAAGGUCCCCCACAUUGGAACUGAGACACGGUCCAAACUCCUACGGGAGGCAGCAGUGAGGAAUAUUGGUCAAUGGACGAGAGUCUGAACCAGCCAAGUAGCGUGCAGGAUGACGGCCCUAUGGGUUGUAAACUGCUUUUGUUUGGGAAUAAUCGACAUUACGUGUAAUGUUUUGCAUGUACCAUCCGAAUAAGGACCGGCUAAUUCCGUGCCAGCAGCCGCGGUAAUACGGAAGGUCCAGGCGUUAUCCGGAUUUAUUGGGUUUAAAGGGAGUGUAGGCGGUUGGUUAAGCGUGUUGUGAAAUGUAGAUGCUCGACAUCUGACUUGCAGCGCGAACUGGCUGACUUGAGUACACACAACGUAGGCGGAAUUCAUGGUGUAGCGGUGAAAUGCUUAGAUAUCAUGAAGAACUCCGAUUGCGAAGGCAGCUUACGGGAGUGUUACUGACGCUUAAGCUCGAAGGUGCGGGUAUCGAACAGG